UCCUUCCACGCUAUUAAAAAGUUGCUGAACAAGGGAGGUGGAUCUAAAAACAGGCUCUGCUGUGUGAGGCUGGACCUCGGCCUGGACUGGUUUCCUAAGUGGAAGGAGGUGGAGGAGGGGAGGAAGGUGAGGUUGGGGAAGACAAUGAUGUGUUUGUGUGUGUGUGUGUGUGUGUGUGUGUGUGUGUGUG